GGCAAGAGAGGAGGAGAGGACAGAAGAAGAGGAGGAAGCCUCCAUGGACCUGAACCACAUGUCCAGGAGAAACCGUACUGUUCAUCAAGAGACCGUCAUCACAUGCCUGCUUGCCUAAGUGGCUCGUGGGAUGAGCUGGCAAAUGUCCCACGUGCCAGGUAAUUUUUGUACAACUAUGAAGCAGUUGUAUCUGUUGGAAAAAGGAAAGGUUGGGCAGUCACAGCUUUAUUAAACAGAGACCAUCCAUUUGCCCAAA
rnacentral:lncRNA from 1 species